CGUGGCGCCCCUGAUCGCCGCUGCGCUGGUCAUCGCGGCGCUCCUAGUCAUCCUGCUGUGCCUCAUCAUCAGGUGCCGGAGACGACGAGAAAGCGUUGAAUACAAGACUGAUGACUUAGAUAGUGAGAAAACAGUGCUGCCAGCGGACGCGGUAUACUCGCCGCAGCAGGCCGGGCGGCCGGCGCCGCAGCCCAACCCGGCGGC